CUGGGGCCUAGGACCUUUGUGGUAGCAGAGUCACUGCAGAGAACCAGACAAUACCAGGUUGCUUAUAAAAGGAUGCCAUGUGCUUGCUGGAGGUCCCAGGUGCAACCAAAUUGCUUGCAGCUAGGAGGACCUUGAAGAGAAAUGGGAUCAGCCCGCCAAACCAAGAAGGGUUAGCACUUUUGCUAGGAGAGCUGACCACGCACAAACAGAUGAGAACCAAAACCGAGUGAAGAGGAUUGAAGAUGAACCCACAUUUUAAAAGUUCUUGUCUGCUGGAGGUGGCAUUACCUGUGACCUCGCUUCACUUCUCCAUACAUGGCUGUUAUAGCAGGUACAUUGUAAAGAAGCAUGAUUAUUUCUAGAAAUGCAAAAACAUGUGGCAAGAUUUUAAAACCUGUCAUUAUUCUAAAGAAUACUUAAUGAGAUUUGAAGAGCAUUCAAGUUACAAAUGAGGAAAACUUGUUUUAGCAUUCAAAGUACAAGAGAAUUUGAACAUUUUUUAAGUGUAUAUUAUUUGUGCAAAGUGAAGAUAUAAGAAUGUAUGGCAAGGAUAUUUUUAAGUGGCUAUUUCUUGUUGUGAUUGAAGUACCGUUUACUUUCUACUUAUAAUUUCUUAAAAUCUAAACGGUGCCAACAGUGGGUGUAACUUUUGUAAUUUCUUGAAAUAGAAAGGUCUUCUAGAGUAAGAUACAAAAAAAA
ensembl:lncRNA FIRRE firre intergenic repeating RNA element